UGCCUUGAUCCCUUGACAGAAUCUUCACACU
rnacentral:piRNA from 1 species